rnacentral:rRNA from 1 species
GACGAACGCUGGCGGCGUGCUUAACACAUGCAAGUCGAACGGAAAGGCCCUGCUUUUGUGGGGUGCUCGAGUGGCGAACGGGUGAGUAACACGUGAGUAACCUGCCCUUGACUUUGGGAUAACUUCAGGAAACUGGGGCUAAUACCGGAUAGGAGCUCCUGCUGCAUGGUGGGGGUUGGAAAGUUUCGGCGGUUGGGGAUGGACUCGCGGCUUAUCAGCUUGUUGGUGGGGUAGUGGCUUACCAAGGCUUUGACGGGUAGCCGGCCUGAGAGGGUGACCGGCCACAUGGGGACUGAGAUACGGCCCAGACUCCUACGGGAGGGAGGAGUGGGGAAUAUUGCACAAGGGGCGGAAGCCUGAUGCAGCAACGCCGCGUGCGGGAUGACGGCCUUCGGGUUGUAAACCGCUUUCGCCUGUGACGAAGCGUGAGUGACGGUAAUGGGUAAAGAAGCACCGGCUAACUACGU